ACGGAAGGCAGCAGUGGGGAAUAUUGGGCAAUGGGCGAAAGCCUGACCCAGCAACGCCGCGUGAGGGAAGAAGGUUUUCGGAUUGUAAACCUCUGUCCUCAGGGACGAAGGAAGUGACGGUACCUGAGGAGGAAGCCCCGGCUAACUACGUGCCAGCAGCCGCGGUAAUACGUAGGGGGGCGAGCGUUGUCCGGAAUGACUGGGCGUAAAGGGCGUGUAGGCGGCUUUAUAAGUCUGGAGUGGAAGUCCUGCUUUCAAGGUGGGAAUUGCUUUGGAGACUGUAGAGCUUGAGUGCGGAAGAGGUAAGUGGAAUUCCCAGUGUAGCGGUGAAAUGCGUAGAGAUUGGGAAGAACACCAGUGGCGAAGGCGACUUACUGGGCCGUAACUGACGCUGAGGAGCGAAGGCAUGGGGAGCGAACAGGAUUAGAUACCCUGGUA
rnacentral:rRNA from 1 species